AGGGCGCACGGUGGAUGCCUUGGCACUAGGAGCCGAAGAAGGACGGGACUAACACCGAUAUGCUUUGGGGAGCUGUACGUAAGCGUUGAUCCAGAGAUUUCCGAAUGGGGGAACCCACUAUCUUUAGUCGGAUAGUAUCCUUACGUGAAUACAUAGCGUGAGGAAGGCAGACCCAGGGAACUGAAACAUCUAAGUACCUGGAGGAAGAGAAAGAAAAAUCGAUUUCCUGAGUAGCGGCGAGCGAAACGGAAAGAGCCCAAACCAAGAAGCUUGCUUCUUGGGGUUGUAGGACACUCUAUACGGAGUUACAAAAGAAAGUUAUAAAUGAAGCGGUCUGGAAAGGCCCGCCAAAGACGGUAACAGCCCGGUAGUUGAAAUGGCUUUCCCUCCAGAGUGGAUCCUGAGUACGGCGGAACACGUGAAAUUCCGUCGGAAUCCGGGAGGACCAUCUCCCAAGGCUAAAUACUCCCUAGUGACCGAUAGUGAACCAGUACCGUGAGGGAAAGGUGAAAAGCACCCCGGAAGGGGAGUGAAACAGUUCCUGAAACCGUGUGCCUACAAGUAGUUAGAGCCCGUUAAUGGGUGAUAGCGUGCCUUUUGUAGAAUGAACCGGCGAGUUACGAUUUGUUGCAAGGUUAAGCGGAAAAAGCGGAGCCGUAGCGAAAGCGAGUCUGAAUAGGGCGCAUAAGUAACAGGUCGUAGACCCGAAACCAGGUGAUCUACCCAUGUCCAGGAUGAAGGUAAGGUAAUACUUACUGGAGGUCCGAACCCACGCACGUUGAAAAGUGCGGGGAUGAGGUGUGGGUAGCGGAGAAAUUCCAAUCGAACUUGGAGAUAGCUGGUUCUCUCCGAAAUAGCUUUAGGGCUAGCCUCGAGGUAAAGAGUCAUGGAGGUAGAGCACUGUUUGGACUAGGGGCCCUUCUCGGGUUACCGAAUUCAGAUAAACUCCGAAUGCCAUGUACUUAUACUCGGGAGUCAGACUGCGAGUGAUAAGAUCCGUAGUCGAAAGGGAAACAGCCCAGACCACCAGUUAAGGUCCCCAAAUAUAUGUUAAGUGGAAAAGGAUGUGGGGUUGCUUAGACAACCAGGAUGUUGGCUUAGAAGCAGCCACCAUUGAAAGAGUGCGUAAUAGCUCACUGGUCGAGUGACCCCGCGCCGAAAAUGUACCGGGGCUAAACAUAUUACC
rnacentral:rRNA from 1 species